rnacentral:tRNA from 1 species
GCCGGGUUAGCUCAGUUCGGUAGAGCAGGGCUCUUGUAAAGCUCAGGCCGUCGGUUCGAAUCCGACACCCGGCU